CUUUACGGCAGAAUUUUGAAAUACCAUGUGAUGUCUUCGUUAAGAAAUGGUAUGCCUGUAUGGGGUAGUUUGAAUAAGCAACCUGCUAAAAUGCUCCAAAAUGGCAUACAGACCCAUUAACACCAUCUAUGUAAAUCCACACUUAAACAUCUGAAAUUGGGUAUAUUGUUUUACUCAAGUGAUGUAUUGGUAAAUUGGUAAAACAAAAAGGUAGCAAGU